rnacentral:rRNA from 1 species
GAUAAACGCUGACAGAAUGCUUAACACAUGCAAGUCGAACGGAAAGGCCCUGCUUUUGUGGGGUGCUCGAGUGGCGAACGGGUGAGUAACACGUGAGUAACCUGCCCUUGACUUUGGGAUAACUUCAGGAAACUGGGGCUAAUACCGGAUAGGAGCUCCUGCUGCAUGGUGGGGUUGGAAAGUUUCGGCGGUUGGGGAUGGACUCGCGGCUUAUCAGCUUGUUGGUGGGGUAGUGGCUUACCAAGGCUUUGACGGGUAGCCGGCCUGAGAGGGUGACCGGCCACAUUGGGACUGAGAUACGGCCCAG